rnacentral:ncRNA from 1 species
CCCUACCAUGAUGCUGUUGGUGCUUGCGCGGCCAUUCGUGGUCGCGCGGUUAAACGGGAAACAGGGCGAUGCCGGCUUCGCACGCAUCCAGCCUGUGCUGCCCCCGCAACGGUACGUGGACGCAGGCGCGAGCCUGCUGUCCCGAUGCAACAAGCCACUGGUCGCCAGCAAAGACACUGGGAAGGCGCAUCGGGAAAGUCCACCAGCCCGGAUACCGGCCAACAGGCGAAAACCGCAG